UACGUAGGUGGCAAGCGUUAUCCGGAUUUACUGGGUGUAAAGGGCGUGUAGGCGGGAAUGCAAGUCAGAUGUGAAAACUAUGGGCUCAACUCAUAGCCUGCAUUUGAAACUGUAUUUCUUGAGUGAUGGAGAGGCAGGCGGAAUUCCGUGUGUAGCGGUGAAAUGCGUAGAUAUACGGAGGAACACCAGUGGCGAAGGCGGCCUGCUGGACGACAACUGACGCUGAGGCGCGAAAGCGUGGGGAGCAAACA
rnacentral:rRNA from 1 species